GUCCUUUAGAAUUUUAUUUAAGGUCUGACCUGCCCACUGAAUAUUUUAAAUGGCCGCAGUAAUUUGACUGUGCAAAGGUAGCAUAAUCAUUAGUUUUUUAAUUAAAAGCUUGUAUGAAAGGUUGGACGAGGUAAAAUCUGUCUCUAUUUAAUUUAAUUUAGAAUUUAACUUUUAAGUCAAAAGGCUUAAAUAUUAUUAAAAGACGAGAAGACCCUAUAGAUCUUUAUAAUUUAUUUAUUAAAUUUAAUUAAGAAUUUUUAAAAUUUUAUUAAUAAAAUUAUUUUAUUGGGGUAAUAUAAAGAUUAAAAUAAUUCUUUUUUUUUAUUUACAUUAAUUUAUGAUUUUUAUGAUCCAGUUAUAUUGAUUAUAAGAUUAAGUUACCUUAGGGAUAACAGCGUAAUUUUUUUAGAGAGUUCUUAUCGAUAAAAAAGUUUGCGACCUCGAUGUUGGAUUAAAGAUUAUUUCAGGUGUAGAAGUUUGAAAAUUUUGGUCUGUUCGACCAUUAAAUCUUUACAUGAUCUGAGUUCAGACCGGUGUAAGCCAGGUCGGUUUCUAUCUUUAGUAAGUUAAAAUAUUUUAGUACGAAAGGACCAAUUAUUUGAUAUAUUUAUAUUAUUAAUUUUUGAUUAUUAUUAA
rnacentral:rRNA from 1 species